CCUACGGGAGGCAGCAGUGGGGGAUAUUGGACAAUGGGGGGAACCCUGAUCCAGCGACGCCGCGUGAGUGAAGAAGUAUCUCGGUAUGUAAAGCUCUAUUAGCAGGGAAGAAAAAAUGACGGUACCUGACUAAGAAGCCCCGGCUAACUACGUGCCAGCAGCCGCGGUAAUACGUAGGGGGCAAGCGUUAUCCGGAAUUACUGGGUGUAAAGGGAGCGUAGACGGGGAUGCAAGUCUGGAGUGAAAGCCGGGGGCUCAACCCCCGGACUGCUCUGGAAACUGUGUCACUGGAGUGCAGGAGAGGUGAGCGGAAUUCCGAGUGUAGCGGUGAAAUGCGUAGAUAUUAGGAGGAACACCAGUGGCGAAGGCGGCUCACUGGACUGUAACUGACGUUGAGGCUCGAAAGCGUGGGGAGCAAACAGGAUUAGAUACCCCUGUAGUC
rnacentral:rRNA from 1 species